rnacentral:rRNA from 1 species
GACGAACGCUGGCGGCGUGCUUAACACAUGCAGGUCGAACGGAAAGGCCCUGCUUGCAGGGUACUCGAGUGGCGAACGGGUGAGUAACACGUGGGUGAUCUGCCCUGCACUUCGGGAUAAGCCUGGGAAACUGGGUCUAAUACCGGAUAGGAGCCAUUUUUAGUGUGAUGGUUGGAAAGUUUUUUCGGUGUAGGAUGAGCUCGCGGCCUAUCAGCUUGUUGGUGGGGUAAUGGCCUACCAAGGCGGCGACGGGUAGCCGGCCUGAGAGGGUGGACGGCCACAUUGGGACUGAGAUACGGCCCAGACUCCUACGGGAGGCAGCAGUGGGGAAUAUUGCACAAUGGGCGCAAGCCUGAUGCAGCGACGCCGCGUGGGGGAUGACGGCCUUCGGGUUGUAAACUCCCUUCGCUAGGGACGAAGCUUUUUGUGACGGUACCUAGAUAAGAAGCACCGGCUAACUACGUG